AAGAAGGAGGACAAGAUCAGGAUGGCUUCCCUUUUGCCCAGACUGCCAUUAGUUCAGCCUUAGCUGCAAAAUGAAGCCACAUUCUGACCCCAGUGGUGCUUGAGAACUAGGUACACUAGCCCUUUUUCUUCAAGGGAAAUACUGAAGUUUGUGGGAUAAACUCAGCUCUGCAGGGCCCAAUACAAUCCUGUCCUUCACAGAGUUGCACAUGAUAACCGACCGAACUGUUUUAGCCACAGUCUUGCAUUUCACAUUCUCUCCCUCUCCCCUUAAGGUAUUCAGCCUUCAUUCUACCCAGCUCUACUUUCAGAGAAGCAGCAGGGCAUUACUCUUUGGCCUAUGACUCCCUUGUGCCUCUCCCCAGUUUCUUUUUGUCCUCAAGUUUCUGAUCAAAAAAAUAACCCCACACUUAGGCCUCAAAGAUACACCCAGCUAUGACUUCUGCCUUUCCUAACCACAACGUACAGUCACUCUGCUCCUUGAAUUGAGUAACGCUCAGCAAAAUGGCAGCCAGUCCCUGACACAGAGCAAGCUUGGAUCCAAGCCUGUGAGCAGGGUAAGAUCUGUGCUAGUUAAUUCUUCCUUAGGACAAGACUUACAACAAAUGAUGCUUUUAUGUGCUAUCUUCAAGCUGCAGUCUAAGUCUGUUAGUGCCAUGAUUUGCCUGUGGUAUUGGUAGGUAGAAGCGCUGGUUACUGUGACUGUGCAGUGACAUCGCAUUAUAAACAGUAACACUUGCAGGUAAAGAAAGUGGAAAAAAACUGAACCUAAGAAGGAUUUUCUGUAUUGCAUCUGACCUCCCCCCUCGCUACUUGGCUUGAAUGCUUUUACUAUAAAUUAUUCUUCCCUGUACUAUUCAACACAAACAUACAUAUAUUGCAAGCCCAUGCUGGAGGGCACAAACAUUACCCACUACGCUUUUAAAGAAACAAUUCCACUCUGCAGGAAGAAAGAUCAGGCCAUGGUGCAUAGACAAGAAAACAAAACAAAAAGCCUGAAAAAACUGUUCCCCAGGGCUCAAAAAGAUUUCUGCCUUGAUGAGACAUUUUGCAAACAUGCUAAGGCUACAAAAUGUCCAAGUUGACAAAGACAUGCAACGCUGACCAUUCAAUAAGUCACAGCUAUUAUAGGAGCGACCGUGCCCACCCGGGCCACAGGUCCCGUAAAACAGGGAUGGUGUACAGUGAUCAUGGCAACGUACUACGCAGGACCUAGUAACCUGAGCAGCAAACAUAGCAUAGAAGCGCGAGUUCUCAUUGGCCAGAAGGGCAGACGGCGUGUCAAAUUCCACUACCUGAAAGCAGACAAGGCAGGCAUCCUACUCGUGUAUGGACAUGAACAGAAUCCACCAUUGGCAGAUUGCUGGAACACUGCUGUGCAGUUAACAACUUAUGCAAACACAGAGAAGACAGAGGAGAACCAAUAUGACUGCCU